GGUUUCACCGUGUUAGCCAGGAGAAGUGCCCCAAAUUUCUAAUCCCUUAAGCCAGGACCUUGGUAGCCCUGAGGUGUGAUGGGAGACUCUGGACAGAACCACCUGUUGACCUAUCCAGGACCCAAAUAUGCACCACAGCACCAAGAAGUUUCCGGUCCCGGUACAGAUCAGUGAGGAAGAGGCUAUUGACAAGUGUGGAUUUGCCCAGGCCAGACUCUCCUGAGAGGAGAGAGGACAGAGGCACCAAAUCAGAAGGGACCCUUCUCUGGGCUGUCUGAUAGUCUGCAGAGACACAGCUGCUUCCGUGCUCUGGGAGAGAGGGACUCCUUGGAGAUCUGAUCUCACUAGUAGUCGUAAUUCUUUGGAUGGGCUCAGUUUGUACUGCUUCAUCCUUUGGAGAAGGCUCCAGACCCUCCUUUACUCUCCCGAGAUUCUAGAAAUUCUCAGGACUCAUCCAGAGAAGGAAUCAGCCAGAAGAUCCUAUGAAGACAAGAUCAAACCAAACACGCUGUGUUAGCCCCAGUUUUAAUAAGAAAUCUGACUGAAAACAAAUGGUUGAAUGUGCUGCUAACAGAGAGGGCCAAACGAUGAUGUCUAUUGUGGCAGCUGAACAAAGUGAGACUUACAGAACUGGAACUGCUGCCCUGACA
rnacentral:antisense_RNA from 1 species